GUGUGCCACUCCAAUACUUGUUGACGACAUGGUUUUGCUGUGAAGAUUGUUAGAUUGGAGAAGGGUCAGUGCUAUCCGGGAUCAUUGGGAAGUCCCUUAAGUGGACAUUUAAAACGUUUAAAGGUAGAGGUUAAGGUGAGGGUUUAGUGUAGGGACGUCCCAAGGACCCCGGAUAGCACUGACCGUUUGAGAAGUGCGCUCCUCUCACCGCUUUUGGCCGUUCAACUGUAACGGACCAUAGACCUGUGCACUGCAUCGAUUAAGGACAUUACGUUUCCUUUCCAUACGUGUCACCGUGGUCAAAGCACCCUUUCUUUCCUAAGACCUUUGUCGCGUUCAAAAAAACUGGGAAUUCGGAUGCAUCCCGUCUUCAUUGCGUCCAUAACAACUGGAAACUCGGGAAAAAUAGCUCCGACUGGGUAAAAUCGUUUUGAACAGUCAUCCAAAGAAGAUCACUGACGUCUUGAUUUGACCACGUUUUGUACGAGUUACCAGUUGAAAGCACCAUACAUUCUCCGAGCUACACUAGUGAACACGGUUAUCGGUAAUAUUACAGCAACAAAGCCAUCCGGACGCGGGGAGGCAAACUGGGACUGACUACCACAUGAGUGAGAAUACCGGGGAAAGGCUCAUUUAACGGUAUUUCUCCGGUAUAGGCUAAGCGGUAGAGCCUACAGACAAAAAUAGAAGACAAUAUGAUAAGCAGAUCAUCUUUUGCUGACUCGAAUAUUCUAAACACUUUCUGUCAGCAACAAUGGAAUUUAGUUUUAUAUUGCCUAUUCUCUUCACGUUUUUUGCCACUAUGGUGACCUCAUUGUUCAGUAACAACGAUACUCUGCUGCUGAUUCGUCCUCUGGCUUUGCAGCAUCCAAAGCAGAUCACUCAGGGGAUGAGGGCUCGUUGGUGCAAUCCGUGAGCGAUGUGGUGAAAACUGGAUUAGUUAAAUCAGGACCGUUGGUAAAUCUUACGGAGUAACAGGGGACAGUAGCAGGGCUAACCUCUGCGGACAAACCGGAGGAGGACAGUGAAUGCCAAUUCGUGGGGAAGAUAACGGAUCCGGUGGCAGCGGACAGAAUGACAGUUUGGAAGGAGGGGAUCCACGCUGCCGUGCACGAGCAAAUGGUGAAAUCUGGCAUUAUGUCUGGCCAACAGUGCUGGAACUCAAACCCCGCCUCAGUGCCGGUGGACAUUCCAGGAAGAUACUUUGGUCACCUACAGUUCCCUGAAAGGUGGUCCUUUCUCUUAGCAGAUAAGGAAUAAGUGGACGCAGAAUGUGCGCCCAUGAAAUACGCCCCCAGGAUGCAGCGGACCAGCCAGAUGGAGAAGAUGAGGAGCUGGAUGAGGAGCAGAGGGUAGAGUUCACCACUGACUUUACCUCUCUGUAAGCCGAUCGGACGGACGGACGGACGGACGGACGGACAGACGUUGUAAUAAAAGCAUGGGUGCAACGGGAGCAGCUGGCAGCCAUCUUCCAGCUGCUGAAGGAGAACCAGGAGACGUUUGGGGAGGUGUCAGAGAGAGACGUGGAGGAGCAACUCUACUCCAUCUAAACCCCUAGUCUACUCACAGUCGACUGUACUACGUCUAACUCUACUUUCCCCAAACUCUACUCUAUGUUAAUCCCACAUAAAGGUCACAAUCAAGAUUAAAGUGCAAUCACAUGGUCCACAGGGUUUCAAAGGGGGUGUUGUUUCAAAGGUCCACUCUGUUUUGAGGCACAUACUCUUCUCUAAAGAUUCUGAGGUGAUGCCAAAUCAGGCUUUGGAUAGUUGGGCCUGAGUGAUUUGAUUGGUCUGAUAAAAUACGAGGUUCUUAUAUCGUACACACCCAUGAAAGCCAACAGUUUCAGCAAGCCUCACAUCAAACUCUUAUCUGAACAGAUCUUUCUCCUUUCAGCUAUUCCCUCCUGCCUUGCCUCGGCCGUAUCCUUAUCUCGUCCAUUGCUAUCUCUCCUCACCCUUUCCCAUGGAGCACCAUUUCCCAUGGAGCACCAUUUCCCAUGGAGCACCAUUUCCCAUGGAGCACCCUUUCCCAUGGAGCACCUUUUCCCAUGGAGCACCCUUUCCCAUGGAGCACCCUUUCCCAUGGAGCACCCUUUCCCAUGGAGCACCCUUUCCCAUGGAGCACCCUUUCCCAUAGAGCACCCUUUCCCAUGGAGCACCAUUUCCCACAGAGCACCAUUUCCCACGGAGCACCCUUUCCCAUGGAGCACCCUUUCCCAUGGAGCACCCUUUCCCAUAGAGCACCCUUUCCCAUGGAGCACCAUUUCCCACAGAGCACCAUUUCCCACGGAGCACCCUUUCCCAUGGAGCACCCUUUCCCAUGGAGCACCCUUUCCCAUGGAGCACCCUUUCCCUCUAGAUGCCUCUGUUUGAACAAACACAUCAUUGGUGCGAACACAAACAUCUACAUUAGAUACUCCAACACGGCUUCUGCUGUUUAUUACUUUUAUAUACCAUUCAAAGCAAUAAACACUGUGUAUUUGAUACAA